rnacentral:tRNA from 1 species
GAAGGUGUAGCUCAGUGGUAGGGCACAUGCUUGGCAUGCAUGAGGUCCUGGGUUCAAUCCCCUGUGCCUCCA